AUGUGAUGUGGACAGUCUCUCAAAUAGCCCUUUUCCCUUUCCCACGCUUGUGGAAGUCUCUCAUAAUCUUUCUGAGUAAAGUUAGCAAUCUUUCCUCUCAACCC